rnacentral:misc_RNA from 1 species
UUUCCGUAGGUGAACCUGCGGAAGGAUCAUUAAAAAUGAAGCCGGGAAACCGGUCCUUCUCACCCUUGAUUAUCUCAAUUUGUUGCUUUGGUGGGCCGCGCAAGCACCGGCUUCGGCUGGAUCGUGCCCGCCAGAGGACCACAACUCUGUAUUAUAUGUCGUCUGAGUACUACAAAAUAGUUAAAACUUUCAACAACGGAUCUCUUGGUUCUG